rnacentral:tRNA from 2 species
CACCAGAGGGCGCAAUAAGACCUGCUAACUCUUAAACCCGGAAAUAACCAGCCGGCCCCCUCU